rnacentral:rRNA from 1 species
GACGAACGCUGGCGGCGUGCUUAACACAUGCAAGUCGAACGGAAAGGCCCCUUUGGGGGUACUCGAGUGGCGAACGGGUGAGUAACACGUGAGUAACCUGCCCUUGACUUCGGGAUAACUUCAGGAAACUGGGGCUAAUACCGGAUAGGAAUCCUUGCUGCCUUUUGGGGGUUGGAAAGCUUCGGCGGUUUUGGAUGGACUCGCGGCUUAUCAGCUUGUUGGUGGGGUAGUGGCUUACCAAGGCUUUGACGGGUAGCCGGCCUGAGAGGGCGACCGGCCACAGUGGGACUGAGAUACGGCCCAGACUCAGACGGGAGGGAGCAGUGGGGAAUAUUGCACAAUGGGAGGAAGCCUGAUGCAGCAACGCCGCGUGCGGGAGGACGGCCUUCGGGUCGUAAACCGCUUUCAGCAGGGGCGAAGCUGGUGGUGACGGUACCUGCAGAAGAAGCACCGGCUAACUACGUG